GCUCAUGAAUUUAAAUAGCCGUAGUAUUUUGACUAUGCUAAGGUAGCAUAAUAAUUUGUUUUAUAAUAGAAAACUAGAAUGAAAGAGUUGACGACAUUUUUGCUUUUUCUAAAAAAAAAUUGAAUUUGAUAUCUUCUUAAAAAAGUGAAGGUUUUUUAAAGGGACGAUAAGACCCUAUAAAACUUUACUUAAUUUAUUUUAAAAAAAAAUAUUUAUAAAUAUUUAAGUUGAACUGGGGCGGUAGCUAUAAUUCGGUAGAAAAUAAAACAUGAAUUUAUGAGGAAAAAGAUCUUAAUAAGAAAUAUAGAAUAAGUUACUUUAGGGAUAACAGCAUAAUUUUUUUUUAUAGAUCUUAUAGACAAAAAAGACUUAUGACCUCGAUGUUGAAUUGAGAAGCUCUGUUUUAGCAAAAAAAAAAAAGGCAGGU
rnacentral:rRNA from 1 species